CCGGUGAGUGAGUGUUUCCCGGCGAGCUUUGCGCUUGGCUCCACCCCCUUCCCGUGGUGGGGCUGUCGGGGAAAAUGGCGGCCGGGACGGGGAAGCACAAGCUGCUGGGCGCCGGCCCCACGGAGCCAUGGUCCGUCCGGGAGAAGCUCUGCCUCGCCUCCUCGGUCAUGCGGAGUGGGGACCAGAACUGGGUAUCAGUCAGCAGAGCUAUCAAACCCUUUGCAGAGCCAGGCCGCCCACCUGACUGGUUCUCUCAGAAGCACUGUGCAUCUCAGUAUUCGGAGCUUUUGGAGACCACAGAGACCCCCAAGAGAAAACGUGGUGAGAAAGGGGAGGUUGUGGAAACCGUGGAAGAUGUCAUCGUGCGGAAACUGACAGCAGAACGAGUUGAGGAGUUGAAGAAAGUUAUCAAGGAGACACAGGAGAAGUAUAGGCAGCUGAAGAAGGAUGCAGAGCUGAUCCAGGCUGGACACAUGGAUAGCAGACUGGAGGAGCUGUGCAAUGACAUUGUGGUGAAGAAAAAAAUGGAAGAAGAGGAGGCAGAGGUGAAAAGGAAGGCUACAGAUGCUGCUUAUCAGGCUCGUCAGGCAGUUAAGAACCCCCCACGAAGGUUGACCGGUGUGAUGGUCCGCUCUCCUGCAGGUUCAUCCUCCCCUGGAAGAGACUAUGCUCUGGGGGACUUGUCUCAGCAAGCUGUGGAGGAGACCAGCCCAGGGGUAACUCCAGGGACAUUGCCCAGCACCCCAGUUGCCUCCUUCAUUGGGAUCCCUGACACCCCUCCAGGCUCAGCUCCCCUGGAUGCCCCCAUAACCCCAGUCACUGAUGAUUCACCCCAGAAAAAGAUACUAGGACAGAAAGCAACUCCGCCUCCUUCCCCUCUGCUCUCGGAGUUACUGAAGAAGGGCAGCCUCCUCCCCACAAGCCCCAGGCUGGUUGGUGAAAACGAGAUGGCAGUGACUUCUGGUCACAUGAAUAGCUCAGGAGUCCUCCUGGAGGUAGGAGGGGUCCUUCCAGUGCUGCAUGGUGGGGAAAUGCAGUUGGCAUCUGGUGCUGUCCCUGCAUCCCCUGCUGCUUCAGGUGCUCCUACUCUUUCUCGGCUUCUAGAAGCUGGUCCUGCACAGUUCACCACACCUCUUGCUUCCUUCUCUGCUGUUGCCAGCGAACCUCCAGCUAAACUCCUGCCACCCCCUGUAGAGUCUGUGUCCCAGGCAACCAUUGCCAUGAUGCCCACGCUGUCAGCACCAUCCAUUGUGCCACCAGCUGCAACUCCAGAAAGCGUAGCGACAGUGAGCCAGUCAGACACUUGUGUUUCCAUGGAGGCAGUGUCUGAUCCCCACACAGUGACGGUGUCUAUGGACAGCAGUGAAAUCUCCAUGAUCAUUGAUUCCAUCAAGAAGGAGUGUCUGGGUACUGAUGCUGGCAGUGCUGCUGGGCCUUCCAAAGAUCACGGCAUGGAUGGGAAAGAAGACCUGGAUCUCGCUGAGAAGAUGGACAUUGCAGUCUCCUAUACUGGGGAAGAGCUGGACUUUGAAACUGUUGGAGAUAUUAUAGCCAUCAUUGAGGACAAGGUAGAUGACCAUCCUGAAGUCCUGGAUGUAGCAGCAGUUGAAGCUGCUUUGUCUUUCUGUGAAGAGACUGAUGACCCUCAGGCCUUGACUGGCCCAUGGGAGCAUCCGAUUCAGCAGGACCACGAGAAACGGGCACAGAUCCCCCAUGUGGCAGUGACUGUGAAGCAGGAGAGGCGAGACUGUGACGAACCAGAGGCAAAGGAAAUCCAAGACCUAAUAAGCAUUGGGGAGCUGGGGUCAGAAAUAAAGAUGGAAUCUGCAGAGCUGGAGCAGAACGAAUUGAACUCUGCAGGUGCCAUGCAAAUAGCAGAAACACCUGAGCUCAGGAGUCGAGAGACAGAGGAGCAGCAGAAAGCAGCUGCUGUUGUGGGAGAGAACUCUGAAACGGAGACAGAAUCAGCCAAGGGAGAAGCAGCAACACACAGUACGGUGAAGAUAGAGAUACCACCUGAUGAUGAUUCAUCCCCUCCACAUGUCCUAAAUGCAAGUGACGAUUCCUCACAGGCUGAUGUUCAGCACAAAUUUGAGCUGUCAGAGUCGAUGAAGGAAGAGACCCGAGCUGUUUUUGGGAAGGAUGCUCAGGGUGAAGAUGAGGAUGAGGAUGGUGCCAGUGAGGCUGCCAGUCUGGAGGAACCCAAGGAGGAAGACCAGGGUGAGGGGUACCUAUCGGAAAUGGAUAAUGAGCCCCCUGUGAGUGAGAGUGAUGAUGGCUUCAGUAUCCAUAAUGCACCUUUGCAGUCACACACGCUAGCUGAUUCCAUCCCCAGCAGCCCUGCCUCCUCGCAGUUCUCUGUUUGCAGUGAGGACCAGGAAGCGAUUCAAGCCCAGAAGAUCUGGAAAAAAGCUAUUAUGCUAGUUUGGAGAGCAGCAGCCAAUCACAGAUAUGCUAAUGUCUUCCUACAGCCUGUGACCGAUGAUAUAGCACCAGGCUACCACAGUAUUGUGCAGAGGCCAAUGGAUUUAUCUACCAUUAAGAAAAAUAUUGAGAAUGGGCUGAUCCGAACCACAGCUGAGUUCCAGCGUGACAUUAUGCUGAUGUUCCAGAAUGCAGUCAUGUAUAACAGCUCUGACCAUGAUGUAUACCACAUGGCUGUGGAGAUGCAGCGAGAUGUCUUGGAGCAGAUCCAGCAAUUUCUGGCCACGCAGCUGAUCAUGCAGACAUCAGAGUCCGGGAUCAGUGCAAAGAGCCUGCGUGGGCGAGAUUCCACUCGGAAACAAGAUGCUUCAGAGAAGGACAGCGUCCCCAUGGGCUCUCCUGCCUUCCUUCUCUCUCUCUUUAGAUGCUGCCUCUGCUAAAAUGCUUGUCAGCCAGAGGGAGAGGGAUCCGAUGAGAAGAAGCCCUCCAGUUGCCCUGCACUCAUGGAGAGUAGCUGUGCGGAGAAGCUAGGGAGCUAGAGCCAGGGUCACCAAGCUGGAGGAACACUUCCUGUAGGGAUGAGCAGCUGGUCAGGAUGGGGGAACCCGAGGCCGUCGCUGUGCCAUUGAGGCUGACAUGAAGAUGAAGAAAUAAGGCUGUAGGCAGGAGGCAAGGCACUACUUGGCAUCUUGAGCCAAGGCGUGAGCACCAUGCCUGCCCAUCUCACAGAAUAGGGGAAGAGCUGAAUGCAGGCAGGAUUCUUGCUGAGGCCUGUUCCACUGUCCUGGCUCAUCUACAUGGAAAACAGUGUCCUCUCUGAUAAGUGUAAGCUGAAGAAACUUCUCUGGAAAGGAAGAGCAGCCCCCACUGCCUGUUCUAGGGCAGCAGUCUCAGGCCACGUCUGUGUCCCAAUGUUAGCUAGCUAGCUGGUGGCUAGGACAUACUGUAAUGUGAAGUGUACAGAUUUUUAUUAGUGAAGUGUAAAUGUGUAUAAUAAAGUAUGGGUGAGAAUCCCAGGG